AGUAAGUACUACUUCGUAUGAGACUAUGAGGUAUGUACUUCGUAUAAUCUAAACUUUUGGGUAGAUCUUCCUUCAUUACUCUAUGUGACUGGUGAUUGAAUUAGGGCUGAUAAUUCCUGACCCGACACGAUAACCCGAUCCGAAGUUAUUGAGAGAAACCCAAACAAUUCGAUUUGACCCAAAUUUCAUAUUUCAUAAUAAUAUUAAGUUUUACACUAUUUUUAUAGUUUCUAAACACAACCCGAGAUCUGACACGAAUUGCCACCCCUUCAUGGGAUGUUAAAGGAAAAAAAAAGUGGGUAGGUUGUGGGUAUUUGAUUUUCCCUCCAAAAUUAUUUACAUAUGUGGAAUAUAAACAAAAUAUAAAUAAACAGUUAUAUUACUUGUAAUUAACCUGUCAAUCUGUCAUCUACCCAGUGUACAAUGUGAAAAAAAAAAUAUUCUAUUUGCUUCAACAAAUUUCCCAUUCUGUGAUCUACAAUUCUGCAAUUCAAAUAUUUCAAAGGUUUAUGUUCUUCACUAUGUCUAAAUGUGAUGCUUAUUUGCUGCUUCAUCUGAAUAACUCACGUUGGAAUCCAUCCUUGAUUAAUUUUUCUAUUUGAAGAAGAUAACUUAUGUUAAUGUAUUUUGUCCCGGUGUUUAAGGUUUUCAACACUUAGACCUUUUAACAUCUCGCCCAUUCAUAGUGGCGGAUCCAAUAUAGGUACAUGGGAUAGGAAUGUGAUCGUACAGUUGUAUCCCACUUUUAUUAAUGUUUGUGUUUCCUUUAUGAAAAAUCUUAAAUUUGCCAUUGUC